GAUAAACCUAGCAUUCCUCAUCCUUCUUCUCAGUCAACGGGCUACUUCUUCUUCUCCUUUCCUCACCCACAGCGCCAUCCUAAUCGCCGCAGCUACCUUUUCUUUCUCCUCUUUUUAAAACACUGAACCAGUAGAAUACAACCCCUGUCUCUCUCAUUCUUUCUCAUUCACAGAACAAAGCAAGCUCAAGCUCCACCACCACCGCGCUUCUCUCUCUCUCCUUUUAUCCCCCUCAAUUCUGGCUACAGCCAUCAUCUCUUCCAGCGCUACAGCCAUCAUCUCCUCCAGUCAAUGCUGCAGCUACCUUCGUAAGCCUUAGCUCCGUGGCGACCAAAAUCGGUUCCACCAUCAGCCGCGGUUCCACCUCUCUCUUUCCCCCGUUCGAACCGUAGAGACCUGGGCAUCCUUCUUUCCCUCUGCGUUGUUUUGAUUGUCUCUGUUUCCAGCAAGGGAUCUGAAGCGGUUGAGCAUCAUUACGUGAAUGCAAGUGAUCUUAACUUGUUGGAGGCACAUGAAGCUGAAGCAUCCUUAGCUGGAAGGGGUGCCUACACUCUUAUGGUAGGACUCUCCCUUAUUUAAACUGCUGCCGCUAAAGGAGCAGUCGUCUUGCAUACAAGUUAUGAAUAAUUUGUGGAAGAAGAAGCCAAAGCAUACAUAAAACUGAGUGUGUGAAUAGAUACACAUUCAGCUUCCUAUCCACUUUUCUACCGCUAAAGAACCCAUGGCUGACCCAAAAAGUCAUUACUCCAAGGCCAUCCAACCCCAACAACCACCCUCCUCAGUUACCGGAAAACACAGGAUUCUCAUGACUGCCCCAAACUUUCUCAGGCUCUUAUCCAUUCUAUUCUCCGCCGCUUCCGUCGCCGUCAUGGUCACCUCCAACCAAACGGUGAUAGCUGCAAUGUAUUCGAAUGUACCAUUUAUUAGCAAUGCAAUCAUGAAGGCUACUGGCAGUGCCGAAGCCUGCCUUGCUUUGCUUCUUCUUCCUAUCUUAAGGGGAUUGGCUCUGUUUCGGAUACUCGGCAUCCAAUUUGAAGCUUCAGUCAGAUAUCACACCUUGCUUGGAACUGCAAUGAUAUUUUUCACUGCAAUACACAGCGCAAGCACUUACUUUGUCUAGGGUGUUAGCCACUAUAUACAGAAAGAAAUUUGGAAGUGGAAAAACACAGGAUGAAUAUACCUCGCAGGAGUGAUUACACUUGUCACUGGGCUAGUUAUCUAUGUCACUUCACUUCCACAAAUCAGAAGGAUGAAGUUUGAAAUCUUCUACUAUACACAUAAUCUCUACACAAUCUUUCUAGUGUUCUUCUUGUUCCAUGGUGGGGAUAGGCACUUCUUUACAGUCUUCAGAGGACUAUUUCUUUUCAGCCUCGACGAACUGCUCCGCGUCAUACAAUCGAGUCCAAGAGCCUGCGGCUAGAACUUUCCCAUCCAAAGCUGUGGAGGACCUUGAAGUUUCUUGCUUAGCAGUUGUUACUAUCCCUUUUUCCAGAUUUUACAGCACCGAUAGUCCGACUGAAUAGUUUGUGUACAAUGUAAUAAACUAGUUGUGUGCUCCAAAAGGGUUCAACCGUGGAAAUGAUAGAUUUGGAUAGGGAUGAUGCGGGAUCAGAAGAUGCUAACCUUUUGUUCAGUGGUCAUAGAGCAAGAAUCACCUAUAUAAGGUGCUAUUCAAAUUAUAGUAAUUAAUAACUGAGGACAAAGUGGGUGGAGCCUUGAAGUUUAACACACGCCUUCUGACUGCCUCAAUCAGAUAUACAUUCAGCGGCGGCAUGUUUGAGAUGAAUGAAGUGAAGGGUGGCAGUCCGUACGAUGCCCGAACUUAUGCUAGUGGUGAUGGAUCAAGACAACCAACUAAACUUGACUUGGAGCAAGCAUUCCACCAAGGCAAGUAUAUUGCCACCAUCACUAAGAAGCUCAAGAAAGAAUGAAGCUAUCCAUAAAUUAGGAUAUUGAAUUCUAAUGAGUCAACUAGUAGUUACUUGUCAUCUAAUGUAUUCAGUUUGUAUUAUUGCAUGGAAAUAAUUGCUUCUUAUUAUAAAGAAAAUGCUUUAUACUCACUGGUGUAUUUUUCUAUUUGU